rnacentral:rRNA from 1 species
AUUGAACGCUGGCGGCAUGCUUUACACAUGCAAGUCGAACGGCAGCGCGGGCUUCGGCCUGGCGGCGAGUGGCGAACGGGUGAGUAAUACAUCGGAACGUGCCCAGUAGUGGGGGAUAGCUCGGCGAAAGCCGGAUUAAUACCGCAUACGACCUGAGGGUGAAAGCGGGGGAUCUUCGGACCUCGCGCUCUUGGAGCGGCCGAUGGCAGAUUAGCUAGUUGGUGGGGUAAAGGCCUACCAAGGCGACGAUCUGUAGCUGGUCUGAGAGGACGACCAGCCACACUGGAACUGAGACACGGCCCAGACUCCUACGGGAGGCAGCAGUGGGGAAUUUUGGACAAUGGGCGAAAGCCUGAUCCAGCAAUGCCGCGUGUGUGAUGAAGGCCUUCGGGUUGUAAAGCACUUUUGGCGGGAACGAAAAGGACUGUGCCAAUACCACGGUUCGAUGACGGUACCCGCAGAAUAAGCACCGGCUAACUACGUG